CUUGUGCCAGCCGCCGCGGUAAUACAGAGGGUGCAAGCGUUAAUCGGAAUUACUGGGCGUGAAGCGCGCGUAGGUGGUUCGUUAAGUUGGAUGUGAAAUCCCCGGGCUCAACCUGGGAACUGCAUUCAAAACUGACGAGCUAGAGUAUGGUAGAGGGUGGUGGAAUUUCCUGUGUAGCGGUGAAAUGCGUAGAUAUAGGAAGGAACACCAGUGGCGAAGGCGACCACCUGGACUGAUACUGACACUGAGGUGCGAAAGCGUGGGGAGCAAAC
rnacentral:rRNA from 1 species